rnacentral:rRNA from 1 species
AUAAAUGGCGGGUGCUAUACAUGCAGUCGUGCGGACCUUUUAAAAGCUUGCUUUUAAAAGGUUAGCGGCGGACGGGUGAGUAACACGUGGGCAACCUGCCUGUAAGAUCGGGAUAACGCCGGGAAACCGGGGCUAAUACCGGAUAGUUUUUUCCUCCGCAUGGAGGAAAAAGGAAAGACGGCUUUUGCUGUCACUUACAGAUGGGCCCGCGGCGCAUUAGCUAGUUGGUGGGGUAACGGCUCACCAAGGCAACGAUGCGUAGCCGACCUGAGAGGGUGAUCGGCCACAUUGGGACUGAGACACGGCCCAAACUCCUACGGGAGGCAGCAGUAGGGAAUCUUCCGCAAUGGACGAAAGUCUGACGGAGCAACGCCGCGUGAGUGAAGAAGGCCUUCGGGUCGUAAAACUCUGUUGCCGGGGAAGAACAAGUGCCGUUCGAACAGGGCGGCGCCUUGACGGUACCCGGCCAGAAAGCCACGGCUAACUACGUGCCAGCAGCCGCGGUAAUACGUAGGUGGCAAGCGUUGUCCGGAAUUAUUGGGCGUAAAGCGCGCGCAGGCGGCUUCUUAAGUCUGAUGUGAAAUCUUGCGGCUCAACCGCAAGCGGUCAUUGGAAACUGGGAGGCUUGAGUGCAGAAGAGGAGAGUGGAAUUCCACGUGUAGCGGUGAAAUGCGUAGAGAUGUGGAGGAACACCAGUGGCGAAGGCGGCUCUCUGGUCUGUAACUGACGCUGAGGCGCGAAAGCGUGGGGAGCAAACAGGAUUAGAUACCCUGGUAGUCCACGCCGUAAACGAUGAGUGCUAAGUGUUAGAGGGUUUCCGCCCUUUAGUGCUGCAGCUAACGCAUUAAGCACUCCGCCUGGGGAGUACGGCCGCAAGGCUGAAACUCAAAGGAAUUGACGGGGGCCCGCACAAGCGGUGGAGCAUGUGGUUUAAUUCGAAGC